rnacentral:rRNA from 1 species
UACGUAGGGUGCGAGCGUUGUUCGGAAUUAUUGGGCGUAAAGAGUUUGUAGGCGGUCUGUCGCGUCUGCUGUGAAAACCCGGGGCUCAACCCCGGACUUGCAGUGGGUACGGGCAGACUAGAGUGUGGUAGGGGAGACUGGAAUUCCUGGUGUAGCGGUGAAAUGCGCAGAUAUCAGGAGGAACACCGAUGGCGAAGGCAGGUCUCUGGGCCACUACUGACGCUGAGAAGCGAAAGCAUGGGGAGCGAACAGG